UUGCAGAGGCGGCAGCUAUAAUGCAGUCGAGCGACAGACAAGGAGCUUGCUCCUUUGACGUUAGCGGCGGACGGGUGAGUAACACGUGGGUAACCUACCUAUAAGACUGGGAUAACUUCGGGAAACCGGAGCUAAUACCGGAUAAUAUUUCGAACCGCAUGGUUCGAUAGUGAAAGAUGGUUUUGCUAUCACUUAUAGAUGGACCCGCGCCGUAUUAGCUAGUUGGUAAGGUAACGGCUUACCAAGGCGACGAUACGUAGCCGACCUGAGAGGGUGAUCGGCCACACUGGAACUGAGACACGGUCCAGACUCCUACGGGAGGCAGCAGUAGGGAAUCUUCCGCAAUGGGCGAAAGCCUGACGGAGCAACGCCGCGUGAGUGAUGAAGGUCUUCGGAUCGUAAAACUCUGUUAUUAGGGAAGAACAUACGUGUAAGUAACUAUGCACGUCUUGACGGUACCUAAUCAGAAAGCCACGGCUAACUACGUGCCAGCAGCCGCGGUAAUACGUAGGUGGCAAGCGUUAUCCGGAAUUAUUGGGCGUAAAGCGCGCGUAGGCGGUUUUUUAAGUCUGAUGUGAAAGCCCACGGCUCAACCGUGGAGGGUCAUUGGAAACUGUAAAACUUGAGUGCAGAAGAGGAAAGUGGAAUUCCAUGUGUAGCGGUGAAAUGCGCAGAGAUAUGGAGGAACACCAGUGGCGAAGGCGACUUUCUGGUCUGUAACUGACGCUGAUGUGCGAAAGCGUGGGGAUCAAACAGGAUUAGAUACCCUGGUAGUCCACGCCGUAAACGAUGAGUGCUAAGUGUUAGGGGGUUUCCGCCCCUUAGUGCUGCAGCUAACGCAUUAAGCACUCCGCCUGGGGAGUACGACCGCAAGGUUGAAACUCAAAGGAAUUGACGGGGACCCGCACAAGCGGUGGAGCAUGUGUUUAAUUCGAAGCACGCGAAGAACCUUACCAAAUCUGACAUCCUUUGACAACUCUAGAGAUAAGAGCUUCCCCUUCGGGACAAAGUGACAGGUGGUGCAUGCUUGUCGUCAGCUCGUGUCUGAAAUGUGAUAAGUCCCGCACGAGCCCACCCUAGCUAGUGCCAUCAUAGUGCACUCUAAGUGACCUGCCGGUGACACGGAGAGUGGAUGACCUCAUAUCUCAUGGCCUUAGAUUGGGCUAAACGUUCUAAUGCAUACAAGGACCGAAUCCGAGUCAGCAAUCUCCUAG
rnacentral:rRNA from 1 species